rnacentral:tRNA from 2 species
GGUGACGUGGCCGAGUGGUUAGGCAAAGGUCUGCAAAACCUUGUACGGCGGUUCGAGUCCGCCCGUCACCU